GACGAACGCUGGCGGCGUGCUUAACACAUGCAAGUCGAACGGAAAGACCCUGCGUUUGUGGGGUUCUCGAUUGGCGAACGCGUGAGUAACACGUGAGUAACCUGCCCUUGUCUUUGGGGUAACUUCAGGAAACUGGGGCUAAUACCGGAUAGGAGCUCCUGCUGCAUGGUGGGCGUUGGAAAGUUUCGGCGGUAGGGGAUGGACUCGCGGCUUAUCAGCUUGUUGGUGGGGUAGGGGCUUACCAAGGGUUAGACGGGUAGCCGGCCUGAGAGGGUGAACGGCGACAAGGGGACUGAGGGAGGGAGCAGACUCCUACGGGAGGCAGCAGUGGGGAGCCUGGCACAAUGGGCGCAAGUCUGAUACAGAAACGCUGGGUGCGGAAAGACCGCCUUUUGGGUAAGAACCGCUUUCGCCUGUGACGAAGCGGGAGUGACGGUAAUGGAUAAAGAAGCACCGGCUAACUACGUG
rnacentral:rRNA from 1 species